rnacentral:rRNA from 1 species
AUGAACGCUGGCGGCGUGCCUAAUACCUGCAAGUCGAGCGAACAGACGAGGAGCUUGCUCCUCUGACGUUAGCGGCGGACGGGUGAGUAACACGUGGAUAACCUACCUAUAAGACUGGGAUAACUUCGGGAAACCGGAGCUAAUACCGGAUAACAUGUUGAACCGCAUGGUUCAACAGUGAAAUACGGUCUUGCUGUCACUUAUAGAUGGAUCCGCGCCGCAUUAGCUAGUUGGUAAGGUAACGGCUUACCAAGGCAACGAUGCGUAGCCGACCUGAGAGGGUGAUCGGCCACACUGGAACUGAGACACGGUCCAGACUCCUACGGGAGGCAGCAGUAGGGAAUCUUCCGCAAUGGGCGAAAGCCUGACGGAGCAACGCCGCGUGAGUGAAGAAGGUCUUCGGAUCGUAAAACUCUGUUAUUAGGGAAGAACAAAUGUGUAAGUAACUAUGCACGUCUUGACGGUACCUAAUCAGAAAGCCACGGCUAACUACGUG